rnacentral:rRNA from 1 species
GGCACCUCGAUGUCGGCUCAUCGCAUCCUGGGGCUGAAGUAGGUCCCAAGGGUUGGGCUGUUCGCCCAUUAAAGCGGUACGCGAGCUGGGUUCAGAACGUCGUGAGACAGUUCGGUCCCUAUCCGUCGCGGGCGCAGGAAAUUUGAGAGGAGCUGUCCUUAGUACGAGAGGACCGGGAUGGACACACCGCUGGUGUACCAGUUGUUCCGCCAGGGGCAUAGCUGGGUAGCUACGUGUGGACGGGAUAAGUGCUGAAAGCAUCUAAGCAUGAAGCCCCCCUCAAGAUGAGAUUUCCCAUCACGUCAAGUGAGUAAGACCCCUUAGAGAUGAUGAGGUUGAUAGGUCUGGUGUGGAAGCGUGGCGACACGUGGAGCUGACAGAUACUAAUCGGUCGAGGGCUUAUCCUU